rnacentral:rRNA from 1 species
UGCCUUGAAGAUCGGAGUGCUUGCACUCUGUGAAACAAGAUACAGGCUAGCGGCGGACGGGUGAGUAACACGUGGGUAACCUGCCCAAGAGAUCGGGAUAACACCUGGAAACAGAUGCUAAUACCGGAUAACAACAGAUGAUGCCUAUCAACUGUUUAAAAGAUGGUUCUGCUAUCACUCUUGGAUGGACCUGCGGUGCAUUAGCUAGUUGGUAGGGUAACGGCCUACCAAGGCGAUGAUGCAUAGCCGAGUUGAGAGACUGAUCGGCCACAUUGGGACUGAGACACGGCCCAAACUCCUACGGGAGGCAGCAGUGGGGAAUCUUCCGCAAUGGACGAAAGUCUGACGGAGCAACGCCGCGUGAGUGAAGAAGGUCUUCGGAUUGUAAAGCUCUGUUAUACGGGACGAAAAAGACGGAUGCCAACAGUAUCCGUCCGUGACGGUACC